GGAAGAGUUCAGAGGAAGAGCCUGAUGGAGAAUCAGUUUUGUGCCAACGAGGGAAACAGGAGGCAAUCCCGAAUGACAGAGCGGCCAGAGUAUGUGCAGGAGGAGGAGAAUGGGAUACGUCCUCCUGAUCCUCCCAAAGGAGGCCCCGUCACUCCCUCACCCGGUCCAGAGGCUGAAACAUGGCAAAGAGCGUUUAGCAGGCAUCCCCCUGUCCCCAUGGAGAAGGACAAAUGGCAGGCUUCAAGAAGGUCAAAACUAAAGAGGAUCUUAGGCCUCUAGGCCAACUCUAUGGGGAAACUGAGGCUCAUGGAAAGACAGAGGCUCUCCAGCUUCCAGAAGUCUCUUGCACAGCUGAACCCUCUUCCUCCUCACCUAAGACAGGCAAUCCCCAGCCUGUCCAUGGAUCCAAAGUCAAGUCGAACCUCCUAACCGUGAGGGCCUCGGUGCCCCUGUCAGAGGCUCUGCAAAGGCCCGGCAAAGGCCAGAAGAAUCUGUUAAUGGGGGGUGAUCUGGGGGAGGCCUUCCUUUAUCCUCACUGGAGUUUAUCUGUGUUGACUGGUCUGCAUAAGAUGCGUUUCAAUCUUGGCUCUCCUUAAGAAGAUACCUUUUAAGAUUUUUUUCCCUUGGUCCAAGACCAUCUAAAGAUAAGAAUUAGGAGGCUUUCUUUGGUUUG